rnacentral:rRNA from 1 species
UAGGGAAUCUUCGGCAAUGGACGAAAGUCUGACCGAGCAACGCCGCGUGAGUGAAGAAGGUUUUCGGAUCGUAAAACUCUGUUGUUAGAGAAGAACAAGGACGUUAGUAACUGAACGUCCCCUGACGGUAUCUAACCAGAAAGCCACGGCUAACUACGUGCAAGCAGCCGCGGUAAUACGUAGGUGGCAAGCGUUGUCCGGAUUUAUUGGGCGUAAAGCGAGCGCAGGCGGUUUCUUAAGUCUGAUGUGAAAGCCCCCGGCUCAACCGGGGAGGGUCAUUGGAAACUGGGAGACUUGAGUGCAGAAGAGGAGAGUGGAAUUCCAUGUGUAGCGGUGAAAUGCGUAGAUAUAUGGAGGAACACCAGUGGCGAAGGCGGCUCUCUGGUCUGUAACUGACGCUGAGGCUCGAAAGCGUGGGGAGCAAACAGG